rnacentral:rRNA from 1 species
CGCUGGCGGCACGCCUAAUACAUGCAAGUCGAACGAAGUAGCAAUACUUAGUGGCAGACGGGUGAGUAACAUGUGGGUAUCUUCCCUUUGGUGAGGAAUAACACGAGGAAACUUGUGCUAAUACCUCAUAAGUCUUUACGGAGAAAGCUUUAUGCGCCAUUGGAUGAGCCCGCACUUGAUUAGUUUGUUGGUGGGGUAAUGGCCUACCAAGACUUUGAUCAAUAGCUGAUUUGAGAGGAUGAUCAGCCACAUUGGGACUGAGACACGGCCCAAACUCCUACGGGAGGCAGCAGUAGGGAAUCUUGCACAAUGGAGGAAACUCUGAUGCAGCGAUGCCGCGUGAGUGAAGAAGGCCCUUGGGUUGUAAAGCUCUUUCGUCGGGGAAGAAAAUGACUGUACCCGAAUAAGAAGGUCCGGCUAACUUCGUGCCAGCAGCCGCGGUAAUACGAAGGGACCUAGCGUAGUUCGGAAUUACUGGGCUUAAAGAGUUCGUAGGUGGUUAAAAAAGUUGGUGGUGAAAGCCCAGAGCUUAACUCUGGAACUGCCAUCAAAACUUUUUAGCUAGAGUAUGAUAGAGGAAAGCAGAAUUUCUAGUGUAGAGGUGAAAUUCGUAGAUAUUAGAAAGAAUACCAAUUGCGAAGGCAGCUUUCUGGAUCAUUACUGACACUGAGGAACGAAAGCAUGGGUAGCGAAGAGGAUUAGAUACCCUCGUAGUCCAUGCCGUAAACGAUGUGUGUUAGAUGUUGGAAAUUUAUUUUCAGUAUCGCAGCGAAAGCGAUAAACACACCGCCUGGGGAGUACGACC